AAUGUUAAAGUUCUUAUUUCAUGGUAUAACUUUGGUAUGCUUGGACCUAGAGUCUUCAAACUUGACAUGAAGGUUGGCCAGGAUUAACAGAUGACCACUGGUCAUUUCAAGGUCAUUCAUUUGAAGGUGAAGGUCACUGUGACCUUCAAUAUAAAAAUGUUACAGUUGUUAUAACUUUGGUAUGCUUGGACCUAGAGUCUUGAAACUUGACAUGAAGGUUGGCCAGAACUAGUAAGUAACCACUGGACAUUUCAAGGUCAUUCAUUUGAAGGUCAAGGUCACUGUGACCUUGAAUGUAAAAAUGUUAAAGUUGUUAUAACUUUGGUAUGCUUGGACCUAGAGUCUUGAAACUUGACAUGAAGGUUGGCCAGAACUAGUAAGUAACCACUGGACAUUUCAAGGUCAUUCAUUUGAAGGUCAAGGUCACUGUGACCUUGACUGUAAAAAUGUUAAAGUUCUUAUUUCAUGUUAUAACUUUGGUAUGCUUGUACCUAGAGUCUUCAAACUUGAAAUAAAGAUUGGCCAGUACUAGAAGAUGACCACUGGUCAUUUCAAUGUCAUUCAUUUGAAGGUCAAGGUCACUGUGACCUUAAAUGUUAAAAUGUUAAAAUUGUUAUAACUUUGGUAUGCUUGGACAUAGAGUCUUCAAACUUGACAUGAAGGUUUGCAAGCACACUUAGAUGACCACUGGUCAUUUCAAGGUCAUUCAUUCUAAGGUCAAGGUCACUGUGACCUUGAAUGUAAAAAUGUUAAAGUUCUUAUAACUUUGGUAGGUAAAAAUGUUAAAGUUCUUAUUCCAUGUUAUAACUUUGGUAUGCUUGUACCUAGAGUCUUCAAACUUGACAUAAAGGUUGGCCAGUACUAGAAGAUCACCACUGCUCAUUUCAAUGUCAUUCAUUUGAAGGUCAAGGUCACUGUGACCUUCAAUGUUAAAAUUGUUAUAACUUUGGUAUGCUUGGACCUAGAAUCUCAAACUUGACGUAAAGGUUUGCAAGCACACUUAGAUGACCACUGGUCAUUUCAAGGUCAUUCAUUUCAAUGUCAUUCAUUUGAAGGUCAAGGUCACUGUGAACUUAAAUGUUAAAAUGUUAAAAUUGUUGUAACUUUGGUAUGCUUGGACCUAGAAUCUCAAACUUGACGUAAAGGUUUGCAAGCACACUUAGAUGACCACUGGUCAUUUCAAGGUCAUUCAUUUGAAGGUCGAGGUCACUGUGACCUUGGAUGUAAAUAUGUUAAAGUUGUUAAUACUUUGGUAUGCUUAGACCUAGAGUCUUCAAACUUGAUAUGAAGGUUGGCCAGAACUAGUAGAUGACCACUGGUCAUUUUAAGGUCAAGGUCACCGUGACCUUGAAUGUAAAAAUGUUAAAA